GUCUAUGGCCAUACCAUCCUGCAUGCUCCUGGUCUUGUAUGAUCUCAGAAGCUAAGCAGGGUCCUGCCUGGUUAGCACUUAGUACUUGGAUGGGAGAAAUCUGGAAGUGAAUUGAUC
rnacentral:rRNA from 1 species